GCACCAAACGGCAUGUGACGACGGACAGUGUGUGGAUGUGUGUGUGUAAUUUUAGGCAGCGAAGAUGGAUCGAGGUUAUGUUUACAAAGUGAAAGAGUUUGAUGCGGAAGCGUCUUUGUGAUAAACAUGUAUUUUAUUUGCAUAAUUUCAGUGUUAAAGUUUGUAAUGUGAACUUAAAAGUAAUGACCAAUGGUGCUAUUCACUUGUGUGCUGUUGGCGAAUAUUGAAGCGUUAAAAUAUUGCAGCUUCCUAUGUUAGUUUGUUGUGCUUAGUGUGAAGCAAAAAUGUGUGCUAAAGUGUUAUAAAUUAGAAAAAUGAGAAAACGAUAGAUGGAGGUUAGAUACGUGCAGCUAUUUGCCUCCGCAGGAAGAUUUCUUAUCCUUAUUUUUGUUUACACCAACCUUGGAUCGUCGGCGCGGGCCUUAUGGGAACUGCGCGGUUAGAGCAACAACCGGAUGAGCAUUUUGUUGCAGGCGGAAAUUGUCUCAAGUUUGGGAAUUGAAGAGAGUUACAGCACACUGUGAACAUCGUUGUAAACAAUCGAUGGUACACCGUGCAAGAAAAGUCCCAUCAAACAACACGUCUAAAGCCUCAUGCAUCCUGUUGUUGGCAUCCUGGCUGCUGAUAUCUGCAUCUAUUAUUUAAGUAUAACUGCCAAAUGCAAAAUCAUCUCCAGCUAUUUUUGCUUCAAAUGCAUCAAACUUUUGUUAAUUUUCGAUUGUUUCUAUUGCUAAACUCUGCGCAUUUCUUCUUAUACCCUUCAUAGGAUUCAGUAUUGUGGACUGCUCAUUUAAAAUCACCAUUAUCUGUGCGCUGCGUGCAUCUAUUUUCAUUAACAGCAUCCGACAACGAAGGCAGCAGCUUCCAGAAUGCUCUGUAGAAGUAAUUGAAAAGACUGCUUGAUUUGCUCCUGCUGCAGUCUGGUGUUCAUCGUCGGUGAUCAUCAUUAUUAGUGACGAAGGCAGCACAGGCAAAUUUAUCACAACAGGACCAGUUGCUCGUUCAGUCGUUAUGUACGUUAUGCGCUUGUCGAUGGCACUUAAUUACCACCAUCAACUAUCUUGCCUGGCGGACGGAUCUGGCUAGGAACACAGAUCCUCUAGGAGCCGCUAUCACCGAUGCAGAAGCACUGGUGGGUAAUUGUUGUCUUACAAAAGCGGACAUCAUAUCACGCUGAUUCUUCGGAGCAUGAACUUCGACAAGCGAUGCAAUCGAUGGUACUGCAGAACCCGCCAAUGCCUGUUGUCUACCGAUCUUCAUGCCUGAUUCCUGCGGUAGAGCAUCAGCAACCGGUACCACUGAUGGCGCAGCAGUACUAGUUGACGGUUGCUGUCCAUGUUGCUGGCCUAACGGACGGAAUGGUGCAAGAACAUCAGCUGUUCAUCAACACGGACUGGCAUUCUUUGUUGACUCGCGCUGACCAGCCACUGAAACCACCGAAGGCACUGCACUUGUUGUCGGAAGUUGUCCAACAACACGGACCGGCAAUCUGGGGGACGGAUAGCACGAGGAAUGGCAACCGGAACCACCGAUGGCACUGCACUUGUCGUCGGAAGUUGUCCAACAACACGGACUGGUACAUCUGACUGACGAAGCUACUUAUCACAUACCCGCGUUUUAUGUCCCCAUUCUUGGUGUUUCCGGGUUACUCGCCAUCGCGCUGUAGUCGGAUCAUACUGCACCUGUCCUGCCUCGAUUAAUGCCUCCCCAAAGACAAAAUUAGAGCACGCGUUCCUAUUCCUCAUCCUCCGGCGCUGUCUGGAGAAUGUGGGAGUCACUGCUCUAUAAAAACCACCGGACUACCACAAACUGGAAACAGCGGAAAACCCCGUGGGUCACCGGCCACCAUGCUAAAUUGAAGCAAAGUUGAACUAAUCUGCCGUGCGAAAUAGCAAAAAAAAAUAUUUCAUUUUAAUGUUUUAUUAAGCUAAACUGACAUUAUAUUUUUAAUCUAAAACGUUUUUGCUGUGUUUUUUUUUUCUCAUCGCGUUUAGGCGUCGUGUAUCAGAUUGCAACUGCUAAUAAUUUCGUCGUCUGAGGCGGACUGUUAUGGAGGUACCAAAUCUUCAGUGAUGAUGAAUGCGUUCACGCUUCUACGAGCCGGUAAUUGGCGGUAUCCAGAUUAUCAUCGUACUGUUAGCUUACCUAAGCUACCGAAAUUAGCGACAGUGUAAAAUCUGUGCUGUAAGAAUUACGAAUGGUCGUGGUAGACGCGUUAGGAUUGCAAGGCGAUAAUUGCGCUCUGAAAAUGCUAGCACAGAUGUUUGGGCCACAGAGGUGACGUUCCGAGAUUGUAAAAACAUGCCGGCCCACAGUUUCAGAUAAGCCGUUCUCAUCAUAGCCGUACCAUGUACGGUCGGCUAGUUACACUUCAUCACGAAGGACAAUCACAUCUAGGUGACGGAAUGCUGCCAAAACGAUGAAGCUGGCUUAGUCCUCGAUGACGACGCAACUCCUGUACGUUCGUCGUCAUACUAUCAUUUUAACUGAAGGCAUGUUUGUUUAGGCGGCUACAACAAAUUGUUUGAACAUGUUCAAUGAAACAAACAUGUUGUUUUGGCUUCUCACAAUUAUUGAUGAAUGCUGGAAAUCUCCGUGAUAGCCGUUUUCUUGCGCUGAAUUAGGUUUGUAUGAAAAAUAGUGUAUUUUUAGAAUAUUUAAUUAUCAAUAAAAUAACGGUCAAUUUGAAAA